rnacentral:rRNA from 1 species
GAUGAACGCUGGCGGCGUGCCUAAUACAUGCAAGUCGAGCGAACGGACGAGAAGCUUGCUUCUCUGAUGUUAGCGGCGGACGGGUGAGUAACACGUGGAUAACCUACCUAUAAGACUGGGAUAACUUCGGGAAACCGGAGCUAAUACCGGAUAAUAUUUUGAACCGCAUGGUUCAAAAGUGAAAGACGGUCUUGCUGUCACUUAUCGCUGGUUCCGCGCUGCAUUAGCUAGUUGGUAAGGUAACGGCUUACCAAGGCAACGAUGCAUAGCCGACCUGAGAGGGUGAUCGGCCACACGGGAACUGAGACACGGACCAGACUCCUACGGGAGGCAGCAGUAGGGAAUCUUCCGCAAUGGGCGAAAGCCUGACGGAGCAACGCCGCGUGAGUGAUGAAGGUCUUCGGAUCGUAAAACUCUGUUAUUAGGGAAGAACAUAUGUGUAAGUAACUGUGCACAUCUUGACGGUACCUAAUCAGAAAGCCACGGCUAACUACGUG